GACAAAGUUGGGCUGCUUGGGUUGUGUGCUUUUUUUUCCAAAAAAAAAAAAAAAUGAUGCCACUCCCAAAAAUGAAGAACUCUUUGCCAGGAAGAUCAGGACUGCAACUAGGUGUGGGUUUCUGCCCCUGUAAAUGCCUACAAGGCUGUGUGGAAAGAAGUGCGGAGGCACAGAUCCUACCAGAACAUGGGCAUGAGCAUCACUUGAUGCCCAAGGACCAGGGUCUGUGAAAAAGCAGAGGAAAUGGUGUGUGUCACGACGUCACCGCAGGGGCUGAUCUCUAUCUACACUGCACAUGUCACAGGCACUUGCUUAUCUGCGGGAGAAGCUGCUGCUCUUGCAGCGUGGCAUGGCGCAGGAGCAGCAGCACGCUGUGCACCAUGACUUUGAUGGAAGCUUUCUUUUGGGGCUCUGUAGUCCAAAUCCGAAAACGCAACAAGAAUGCAGCCUUCACCCAGUGUUGGGUUGGUUGGUUUGUUACUGACCGUCCUUUGCAAAUAAUAAUACUAAUAAAAGCCUUUUUGCUUUGCCUGCAUGAGGCUGGGUCUCCGCUCCAUGCACACACACGUUCCCUCCCCCAUCCCUUUCCAAAGCAGCCUUGGAAAAGAACAAAAUCACGGAAUUAGCCAAGCUAAUCAGGUGAGCUUCCGACGCACCUCAUUUAUCUUUCUUUCGAGGCUGAGCCUGGGAGACCCAAAAAUGGGAUUAAGUGCAGCGAUAAACAAAAGAUCCCAGACGGCCCUGAGAUUUGUGGGUUUUCCCCUGGUCUGAACUCUGGGCUGUGCAGCCCAACAUUUGCUUUUUAUUUCUGAAGAAGAGGAAGUGACGGAAUUGGGCUUUGUGCCACACUUCAGUGACCGAUGGAAACAGCCUGGUUGAGAAGGGACGAAGGUCAGGCAAGGUGAUGACUGCGGCUCUGCUCCGUGCUGGGAAUAGAAGAAGGGUUUUCUCCACUCUGCCUCACCUCCUCCCUGCAUCCAUCCCCCCGGCUGGCAAGCCCAGUACCAAGCGGGUGGAAGAGCAACGCAUUUCCAGAGAAGAAACCACUUGCUCAUCACGCCAAAGUGAAACCCUCAUUCAGACGGAGCUCAGCAAGGAGCGGUGCUGCACCACAGUUUGGCAGCUAAAGCCAAACCCAAAGGAGCUCAAAGCCUCCGUUAGCGCCUGACCUGAGCCGUGCUGCCGUGACCACGCCGAGCAUCCUCCUCCUCCUCCUCACCAUCGCUGGGAGCCAGCUGCGGCGUGUAGGAGAAAAUGCCCCUGUCACGGCUCUCUGCGCUGUGUUAUUGUUAGUGUUACAUUACAAAUCCCGUUUCCAUGCCGAGGUCCCGGGGGGGUCAUAAACAGGGGAGGUCAGGACCCUGCCAAUAAACAGGCCCCCAGCCCCA
rnacentral:lncRNA from 1 species